GUGCCAAACUAUAUUUCUACAAAUUUACAAACAUGCCACCACCAUUCCCUUGCAAGACAGCACAAGCUGUCAUGCAAUACCAUACAUAACUAUGCAUUACAUUGAAAUAACCACAUGAUCUUCCACAAUAGCUCAAAUAUAAAAAAAACUAGUCCAAUAGGAAAACAUAAAUCAGGCACAACAACCUUGGAAACAGGACAAAAAAAAAGACAACUGGACAUACUAUGAGACUCCGAAG
rnacentral:misc_RNA from 1 species